rnacentral:tRNA from 1 species
GGCAUGGCUCAAUGGUAGAGCAGCUGAUUUGUAAUCAGCAGGUUGAAGGUUCGAUUCCUUUUGCC